CGGACGGGUGAGUAACACGUGGAUAACCUACCUAUAAGACUGGGAUAACUACGGGAAACCGGAGCUAAUACCGGAUAAUAUAUUGAACCGCAUGGUUCAAUAGUGAAAGACGGUUUUGCUGUCACUUAUAGAUGGAUCCGCGCCACAUUAGCUAGUUGGUAAGGUAACGGCUUACCAAGGCAACGAUGCGUAGCCGACCUGAGAGGGUGAUCGGCCACACUGGAACUGAGACACGGUCCAG
rnacentral:rRNA from 1 species